rnacentral:rRNA from 1 species
UACGUAGGGGCCAAGCGUUGUCCGGAUUUAUUGGGCGUAAAGAGCUCGUAGGCGGCUCGGUAAGUCGGAUGUGAAACCUCCAGGCUCAACCUGGAGUCGCCAUCCGAUACUGCUGUGGCUUGAGUCCGGUAGGGGAGCAUGGAAUUCCUGGUGUAGCGGUGAAAUGCGCAGAUAUCAGGAGGAACACCAGUGGCGAAGGCGGUGCUCUGGGCCGGACCUGACGCUGAGGCGCGAAGGCGUGGGGAGCGAACGGG